CAGGCACUAACGAACAAUCCCACCGGCGAGUGUACAUACUCGGUCUCCUGUGUGGACCUAACGGUGCCCAGA
rfam:Trypanosoma theileri isolate Edinburgh TM35_Tth_6_V1, whole genome shotgun sequence.